rnacentral:rRNA from 1 species
GGAUUAGAUACCCUGGUAGUCCACGCCGUAAACGAUGUCUACUAGUUGUUGGGAGACUUGUUCUCUUAGUAACGAAGCUAACGCGAUAAGUAGACCGCCUGGGGAGUACGGCCGCAAGGUUAAAACUCAAAUGAAUUGACGGGGGCCCGCACAAGCGGUGGAGCAUGUGGUUUAAUUCGAAGCAACGCGAAGAACCUUACCUGGUCUUGACAUCCUGCGAACUUGCCAGAGAUGGCUUGGUGCCUUCGGGAGCGCAGAGACAGGUGCUGCAUGGCUGUCGUCAGCUCGUGCCG